rnacentral:rRNA from 1 species
UUAAGCGACUAAGCGUACACGGUGGAUGCCCUGGCAGUCAGAGGCGAUGAAGGACGUGCUAAUCUGCGAUAAGCGUCGGUAAGGUGAUAUGAACCGUUAUAACCGGCGAUUUCCGAAUGGGGAAACCCAGUGUGAUUCGUCACACUAUCAUUAACUGAAUCCAUAGGUUAAUGAGGCGAACCGGGGGAACUGAAACAUCUAAGUACCCCGAGGAAAAGAAAUCAACCGAGAUUCCCCCAGUAGCGGCGAGCGAACGGGGAGCAGCCCAGAGCCUGAAUCAGUGUGUGUGUUAGUGGAAGCGUCUGGAAAGGCGCGCGAUACAGGGUGACAGCCCCGUACACAAAAAUGCACAUGCUGUGAGCUCGAUGAGUAGGGCGGGACACGUGGUAUCCUGUCUGAAUAUGGGGGGACCAUCCUCCAAGGCUAAAUACUCCUGACUGACCGAUAGUGAACCAGUACCGUGAGGGAAAGGCGAAAAGAACCCCGGCGAGGGGAGUGAAAAAGAACCUGAAACCGUGUACGUACAAGCAGUGGGAGCCUCUUUUAUGGGGUGACUGCGUACCUUUUGUAUAAUGGGUCAGCGACUUAUAUUCUGUAGCAAGGUUAACCGAAUAGGGGAGCCGAAGGGAAACCGAGUCUUAACUGGGCGUUAAGUUGCAGGGUAUAGACCCGAAACCCGGUGAUCUAGCCAUGGGCAGGUUGAAGGUUGGGUAACACUAACUGGAGGACCGAACCGACUAAUGUUGAAAAAUUAGCGGAUGACUUGUGGCUGGGGGUGAAAGGCCAAUCAAACCGGGAGAUAGCUGGUUCUCCCCGAAAGCUAUUUAGGUAGCGCCUCGUGAAUUCAUCUCCGGGGGUAGAGCACUGUUUCGGCAAGGGGGUCAUCCCGACUUACCAACCCGAUGCAAACUGCGAAUACCGGAGAAUGUUAUCACGGGAGACACACGGCGGGUGCUAACGUCCGUCGUGAAGAGGGAAACAACCCAGACCGCCAGCUAAGGUCCCAAAGUCAUGGUUAAGUGGGAAACGAUGUGGGAAGGCCCAGACAGCCAGGAUGUUGGCUUAGAAGCAGCCAUCAUUUAAAGAAAGCGUAAUAGCUCACUGGUCGAGUCGGCCUGCGCGGAAGAUGUAACGGGGCUAAACCAUGCACCGAAGCUGCGGCAGCGACGCUUAUGCGUUGUUGGGUAGGGGAGCGUUCUGUAAGCCUGUGAAGGUGUGCUGUGAGGCAUGCUGGAGGUAUCAGAAGUGCGAAUGCUGACAUAAGUAACGAUAAAGCGGGUGAAAAGCCCGCUCGCCGGAAGACCAAGGGUUCCUGUCCAACGUUAAUCGGGGCAGGGUGAGUCGACCCCUAAGGCGAGGCCGAAAGGCGUAGUCGAUGGGAAACAGGUUAAUAUUCCUGUACUUGGUGUUACUGCGAAGGGGGGACGGAGAAGGCUAUGUUGGCCGGGCGACGGUUGUCCCGGUUUAAGCGUGUAGGCUGGUUUUCCAGGCAAAUCCGGAAAAUCAAGGCUGAGGCGUGAUGACGAGGCACUACGGUGCUGAAGCAACAAAUGCCCUGCUUCCAGGAAAAGCCUCUAAGCAUCAGGUAACAUCAAAUCGUACCCCAAACCGACACAGGUGGUCAGGUAGAGAAUACCAAGGCGCUUGAGAGAACUCGGGUGAAGGAACUAGGCAAAAUGGUGCCGUAACUUCGGGAGAAGGCACGCUGAUAUGUAGGUGAAGUCCCUUGCGGAUGGAGCUGAAAUCAGUCGAAGAUACCAGCUGGCUGCAACUGUUUAUUAAAAACACAGCACUGUGCAAACACGAAAGUGGACGUAUACGGUGUGACGCCUGCCCGGUGCCGGAAGGUUAAUUGAUGGGGUCAGCGCAAGCGAAGCUCUUGAUCGAAGCCCCGGUAAACGGCGGCCGUAACUAUAACGGUCCUAAGGUAGCGAAAUUCCUUGUCGGGUAAGUUCCGACCUGCACGAAUGGCGUAAUGAUGGCCAGGCUGUCUCCACCCGAGACUCAGUGAAAUUGAACUCGCUGUGAAGAUGCAGUGUACCCGCGGCAAGACGGAAAGACCCCGUGAACCUUUACUAUAGCUUGACACUGAACAUUGAGCCUUGAUGUGUAGGAUAGGUGGGAGGCUUAGAAGUGUGGACGCCAGUCUGCAUGGAGCCGACCUUGAAAUACCACCCUUUAAUGUUUGAUGUUCUAACGUGGACCCGUAAUCCGGGUUGCGGACAGUGUCUGGUGGGUAGUUUGACUGGGGCGGUCUCCUCCUAAAGAGUAACGGAGGAGCACGAAGGUUGGCUAAUCCUGGUCGGACAUCAGGAGGUUAGUGCAAUGGCAUAAGCCAGCUUGACUGCGAGCGUGACGGCGCGAGCAGGUGCGAAAGCAGGUCAUAGUGAUCCGGUGGUUCUGAAUGGAAGGGCCAUCGCUCAACGGAUAAAAGGUACUCCGGGGAUAACAGGCUGAUACCGCCCAAGAGUUCAUAUCGACGGCGGUGUUUGGCACCUCGAUGUCGGCUCAUCACAUCCUGGGGCUGAAGUAGGUCCCAAGGGUAUGGCUGUUCGCCAUUUAAAGUGGUACGCGAGCUGGGUUUAGAACGUCGUGAGACAGUUCGGUCCCUAUCUGCCGUGGGCGCUGGAGAACUGAGGGGGGCUGCUCCUAGUACGAGAGGACCGGAGUGGACGCAUCACUGGUGUUCGGGUUGUCAUGCCAAUGGCACUGCCCGGUAGCUAAAUGCGGAAGAGAUAAGUGCUGAAAGCAUCUAAGCACGAAACUUGCCCCGAGAUGAGUUCUCCCUGACCCUUUAAGGGUCCUGAAGGAACGUUGAAGACGACGACGUUGAUAGGCCGGGUGUGUAAGCGCAGCGAUGCGUUGAGCUAACCGGUACUAAUGAACCGUGAGGCUUAACCUU